AUGGUAAGUAGCUUGCUUCCCAGCCAUGUGGUUCCGGGUUCAGUUCCACUGCGUGGCACCUUGGGCAAGUGUCUUCUGCUAUAGCUUCGGAUCGACGAAAGCCUUGUGAGUGGAUUUGGUAGACGGAAACUGAAAGAAGCCCGACGUAAUUAGUGACCAGACAUAGGCUAUUUGGAUGCAAUAAGAAUAUACUGACAGGAAAAUAUUAAUUCAUCCAACACACGUAUCCACAUCAAGAAUCUUGCACACGAAAUACACAUACGAAAUAAAAUAUUAAUUAUUUUACAUUCAAGAUUUGCAGAGAUGUUGCUUUCAGGAUUAUGACGUCACACGUCAUAACGCCGGUUGUCAAUAGUUGCAGAAAUACGCAAAAGGAUUGUAAAACUAGAAUGCUCUGCUAUUUCACUGGGUGUUGAUGUGCUGUAUGUUCUGUGCAGGAAGUGUACUUUGUGCGUUGUGCUUUUCAAUAGAAAGUCCCUUGACUAGGAGGAUGUGGGUUGUAUCUAGAACCGAUGCUUUUGGACUGUGUAGAAUUGUAAACCCAAGCAUCCAGGUAAAUAGCAUUAUGAUGUACCUCGUCCAGCAAAGAUGCUAUAUUCUCAAUGCAGAUUACUGAAUAUAUACAAGGUACAUUCCAGGCGCUUUGAAACUUUUUCAGGUUACCAACAUUCCACGCUAUGCUUUACAGAGAAUAUAACAAUUUGCGCUGUUAAAUUGAAUCCCAUGGAAAUAGAUGAACAUUUUGACCAAUCAAAUCAUAUAUCGUCAAACCAGUCUGUCAAAUUACGUAUCAGAAACGUGGAUUUUACAUACCAUCCGAUAAAAAAAAUCGAUCAGGAAGCAGUCUCACAGAGCUUACCGAAUACUAUUUUUUUCAAUGAAAUCACAGAGAGCAGACGACCAUCGCUGGAAAAUAUUUGGCUGAAACAACUCAAAAGCCAUUAUUUAAAAAUCACACGAAUCGUAUAUUACACACGCAAUCAAACACACACUCACGAACACACACGCACACACACAGACACAUAUAUACACAUAUAUACACACACAGACACAUAUAUACACACAUACACACACACACAUAUACACGUACAUAAAUACGUAAUACAUUUGAGCAUAAUUUUGAAAUGUCAAAAAUUACCAGGUGCAUUAAACAAUACUCAUCGUGUCGUUGGAGGUUAUGCUAUACUUGUUUAGCAGCUGUUCUCCUCUUAACAGCAUUACGAGUUGACAUUAGCAUUGCUUUUGCUUGUAUGCUGAAAACAACCAACAGUUCAUUUCAAGAAGUUAAUCAUACUGGAAUAAAGGAAGAAUGUCCAGGGUCGGAGAAUCAGUUACCAGAUAAAACAUUUGAAGGCGAGUUCGAAUGGAGUAACUCUUUACAGUCC